UUCUUCAUAGGAAUAGUCAUGGGGAAGAAUAAGCAUUUUCAUCUUGUAUUCACUAUUUUCACUUUUAUCCCCACACCUACUUCCAGACACUGACUUCCAUGCAGGUGGAAGGAAAGGAGGAAGCACUUAGAAAAUUAGAAUCUCCAGAAUAACUUAACUUGAGCCAAAGCCAUCUAGGCAGUUAAUAUGGCCAUUUUAAGGAGGUAAAGCGUUCCUAAGCUUAAAUCCCAUUUGUAAUAGAUGCUGUUGUUUAGAGGAAUGAAAGGAAACACUCAUGCCAAUGACAAGGGGAAGAAGAAGAGGACUACAGAGUGUUGGAAAGGAACGCAAUUUAGAGUUAUGUCAUCCAGCAUUCCACAAGAGUAGGAAGGACUCUGCACAUGACCACAGCAUUUGCUCAGACACCCCCGUGAGAGGGAGCUGACUACUUCCUGGGAAGCUCAAUUCUCUUGGACAGCCUUUUUAUUUAUUUUUUUUAAAGAAAAAUUUUCCUACCCUGAUACAAGUUUCUGCCUCCCUGUCACUCCUACUUAUUGCUUCUAAAUCUGCUCUGUGGAAAUGUAUGCAACUCCCUCUCAGAGACAGGCCUUCAAAUACACCUCCUGAUGGAAAUGUGGGGCUCAAUUCCAAAUCUGUUGGGAUCCUAUAGGUUGGCCUUCAAUGCUUUCUUCAUUUUAUGGACUCCUCACACUCUGAGAAACCAUAAUAGAUUACAAACUCAAAGACAAAAUUUUUAGAGAUUAUUAUUAUUCCACUUUUAAUCUUUUAAAAAAUGCUUGGCAAAAUAUACAUACCACAAAAUUUACCUUCUUAACCAUUUUUAAGGGUGGCAUCAAGUACAUUCACACUGGUGUGCCACCAUGACCACCAUCCAUCCACAGAACUCUGCAUCUUGUAAAAUUGAAACCCUGUACCCACGGAACACUGGUUCUUCAUUUCCUCCUGCCCCCUACUACCUGGCAACUGCCAUUCUAUUGUCUGUUUCUGUGAACCUGAGGCACUCUACGUGCCUCAUCGGAGUGGAAUCCCAUAGCAUCUGUCUAUGACUGGCUUAUUUCACUGAAUAUAAUGUUCAUAAGGUUCAUCCAUGUUGUAGCAUAUGUCAGAACAUCCUUCAUUCUUAAGGCUAAAUAAUAUUCUC